GACGAACGCUGGCGGCGUGCUUAACACAUGCAAGUCGAACGGAAAGGCCCUGCUUUUGUGGGGUGCUCGAGUGGCGAACGGGUGAGUAACACGUGAGUAACCUGCCCUUGACUUUGGGAUAACUCAAGCAAACUGGGGCUAAUACCGCAUAGGAGCUCCUGCAGCAUGGUGGGGGUUGGAAAGUUUCGGCGGUUGGGGAUGGACUCGCGGCUUAUCAGCUUGUUGGUGGGGUAGUGGCUUACCAAGGCUUUGACGGGUAGCCGGCCUGAGAGGGUGACCGGCCACAUUGGGACUGAGGUACGGCCCAGACUCCUACGGGAGGCAGCAGGGGGGAAUAUUGCACAGUGGGCGGAAGCCUAAUGCAGCGGCGCCGCGUGCGGGAUGACGGCCUUCGGGUUAUAAACCGCUUUCGCCUGUGACGAAGCGUGAGUGACGGUAAUGAGUAAAGAAGCACCGGCUAACUACGUG
rnacentral:rRNA from 1 species